rnacentral:lncRNA from 1 species
UACCAUUAUCCCUUUUAUACCUAAGAAGGGCAUGCUAAUAAUUACCACUGUCAAAGAGGCAAAGGUGUUGAUUUUUGUAUAUGAAGUUAAGCCUCAGUGGAGUCUCAUUUGUUAGUUUUUAGUGGUAACUAAGGGUAAACUCAGGGUUCCCUGAGCUAUAUGCACACUCACACCUCUUUGCUUUACCAGUGGUGUUUGUGAGUUGCUCAGUAGUAAAAACUGGCCCUUACCUGACAGAGCCCUGGCUUUGACCUGCUCAGCCCUGUGUGUUAAUCCUCUAGUAGCCAGUUAACUACUCUGGGGUGGCAGGUUCCAGAGAAUGCAGUAGACCUUUUGCCACUCAUCUGUGUUUUACUUGAAACACGGACC